rnacentral:rRNA from 1 species
UACGUAGGGUGCAAGCGUUGUCCGGAAUUAUUGGGCGUAAAGAGCUCGUAGGCGGUCUGUCGCGUCGGCUGUGAAAACCCGGAGCUCAACUCCGGGCCUGCAGUCGAUACGGGCAGACUGGAGUUCGGCAGGGGAGACUGGAAUUCCUGGUGUAGCGGUGAAAUGCGCAGAUAUCAGGAGGAACACCGGUGGCGAAGGCGGUUCUCUGGGAGGUACCUGACGCUGAGGAGCGAAAGUGUGGGGAGCGAACAGG